rnacentral:rRNA from 1 species
UACAGAGGGUGCGAGCGUUGUCCGGAAUCACUGGGCGUAAAGGGCGCGUAGGCGGCCUGCUAAGUAGAGGGUGAAAUCCUGCGGCUCAACCGCAGGGCUGCCUUCUAAACUGUCAGGCUGGAGCACGGUAGAGGCAGAUGGAAUUCCCGGUGUAGCGGUGAAAUGCGCAGAUAUCAGGAAGAACACCUAUGGCGAAGGCAGCUCUCUGGGACGGUACUGACGCUGAGACGCGAAAGCGUGGGGAGCGAACAGG